rnacentral:rRNA from 1 species
AGUGAACGCUGGCGGUAGGCCUAACACAUGCAAGUCGAACGGCAGCACAGUAAGAGCUUGCUCUUACGGGUGGCGAGUGGCGGACGGGUGAGGAAUACAUCGGAAUCUACUUUUUCGUGGGGGAUAACGUAGGGAAACUUACGCUAAUACCGCAUACGACCUACGGGUGAAAGCAGGGGAUCUUCGGACCUUGCGCGAUUGAAUGAGCCGAUGUCGGAUUAGCUAGUUGGCGGGGUAAAGGCCCACCAAGGCGACGAUCCGUAGCUGGUCUGAGAGGGUGAUCAGCCACACUGGAACUGAGACACGGUCCAGACUCCUACGGGGGGCAGCAGUGGGGAAUAUUGGACAAUGGGCGCAAGCCUGAUCCAGCCAUACCGCGUGGGUGAAGAAGGCCUUCGGGUUGUAAAGCCCUUUUGUUGGGAAAGAAAAGCAGCAGGUUAAUACCCCGCUGUUCUGACGGUACCCAAAGAAUAAGCACCGGCUAACUUCGUG